AGCCCGCGCUUGGGGUCGACUUGGCUUGUCUUCCGCAUCACGCGAUUAAUUAACGUACCUGAAUGGAAUGCAUUAUGCACAUGAAUGCAUAUAGGCAGGAAUAGCACAAAUCUAAAUAGUGCUACGCGAUAGCGAAUUAAACACCUAGCGGCAAGGCGUUGUACUAUUUUCUACAGAAAACACUAGUUAUCAGCGUACGACUAAGCGCAAUAAUCACGGUUUUCUAGAUUAAACGAACCUAACGCAAACAUCACGAACAACACAUUAAACAUAAUCAGCCUAAACACAACUCAUUAGCUAAUUGGUUAAAUGCUAAAUUCAUUCCCCGCUUUAUAAAUUAUACCACCUUGCUUCCCAAGAACCAAUUUAAUUUUAUCAAAUAAUUAUAAUUCGUCAAUAGUAAUACUAACAAUAUUAUUGUCUAGACAUUUUAAAAUACUAAAUUUAACCUACGUGUCACCGAAAUACUAUAUUCUACAAAAUAGAACUAGCUCGAAUAUAUUCGGCAACUAAACUCCUCGAAGCAUACCUCGCCUUACUGGUAUUUCUAACUUAAUCGUAUACGCAUACGUAGCGUCUUAUUUUACGAUCAUAAAACCGAUAGUAAAAAUAGCGAAUCAGCUCACCACAUCACAACUCGAUUUGGUAGUUGCCUGAACGACGACGGCCUUCAGCUUGACGACGAGAUCGAAUAGAGAAUGGUGAGCGUGAGGAUUUCACAGCGAGGAGGAGCGUCAUCUUGGAUUCUUGGUCCGACAUUUAAUCGAACACAUCGGAAGCGAGGCACAGCAGGAAUGGCAGUGAGGCUUGAUGGCGAACGACGUGACG
rnacentral:lncRNA from 1 species